rnacentral:rRNA from 1 species
GACGAACGCUGGCGGCGUGCUUAACACAUGCAAGUCGAACGGAAAGGCCCUGCUUUUGUGGGGUGCUCGAGUGGCGAACGGGUGAGUAACACGUGUGUAACCUGCCCUUGUCUUUGUGAUAACUUCAGGUAACUUGGUCUAAUACCGUAUAGGAUCUCCUGCUGCAUGGUGUGGGUUGGAAAGUUUCGGCGGUUGGGGAUGGACUCGCUGCUUAUCAGCUUGUUUGUGGGGUAGUGGCUUACCAAGGCUUUGACGGGUAGCCGGCCUGAGAGGGUGACCGGCGACAUUGGGACUGAGAUACGGACCAGAAGGCAACGGGAGGAAGCAGUGGGGAAUAUUGCAAAAUGGGCGGAAGCAUGAUGAAGAAACGCGGCGUGCGGGAUGACGGCCUUCGGGUUGAAAAAAGAAUUAGAAUGUGAAGAAGAGUGAGUGACGGUAAUGGGUAAAGAAGCACCGGCUAACUACGUG